rnacentral:rRNA from 1 species
AGGAGAGUUUGAUCCUGGCUCAGGAUGAACGCUAGCGGCAGGCUUAACACAUGCAAGUCGAGGGGCAGCGCGGAGUAGCAAUACUCUGGCGGCGACCGGCGGAAGGGUGCGUAACGCGUGAGCAACCUGCCCGUAACCGGGACAUAACCGAUGGAAACGUCGCCUAAUUUCCCAUAACAACUGGAGUGGCAUCACUUCAGUUUGAAAGCUUCGGUGGUUACGGAUGGGCUCGCGAGACAUUAGCUGGUUGGUAGGGUAACGGCCUACCAAGGCGACGAUGUCUAGGGGUUCUGAGAGGAAGGUCCCCCACACUGGAACUGAGACACGGUCCAGACUCCUACGGGAGGCAGCAGUGAGGAAUAUUGGUCAAUGGGCGGAAGCCUGAACCAGCCAUGCCGCGUGCAGGAAUAAGGCCCUAUGGGUCGUAAACUGCUUUUGUGCGGGAGCAAUAAGUAUUACGUGUAAUACGAUGAGAGUACCGUACGAAUAAGCAUCGGCUAACUCCGUGCCAGCAGCCGCGGUAAUACGGAGGAUGCAAGCGUUAUCCGGAUUUAUUGGGUUUAAAGGGUGCGUAGGCUGUGCGUCAAGUCAGAGGUGAAAUACCCGGGCUUAACCUGGGAACUGCCUUUGAUACUGUCGCGCUGGAAUACGGAUGCCGUGGGAGGAAUGAGUAGUGUAGCGGUGAAAUGCAUAGAUAUUACUCAGAACACCGAUUGCGAAGGCAUCUCACGAAUCCGUCAUUGACGCUGAGGCACGAAGGCGUGGGGAUCAAACAGGAUUAGAUACCCUGGUAGUCCCCU